rnacentral:sRNA from 1 species
AUUCUGCCUAUGCGGGGAAGGAUGAGAAGGUUCGACUCGAGCGCCAGCGAGAGAGCGUUGCCGCAGGCAACGACCCGCAGGGCGAAGCGCGCAGCGCUGAGUCAUCCUUCCCCCACCACCA